GGACCUUUAGCUCAGUUGGUUAGAGCAGACGGCUCAUGACCGUCCGGUCGCAGGUUCGAGUCCUGCAAGGUCCA
rnacentral:tRNA from 1 species